UAGAUGUGUACUCGGAGAG
rnacentral:piRNA from 1 species